ACCACACAUCUGCUUGCCAGGCAUUUCGCUUCAUUGACGGAAUCCUCCAGCACUUCUUACUGAAGACGGGAAGUGUUUUGCAGGCUGGAGGUGACUUUAGGUCUGCUCGCCUCCAGCUUGCCAGUGACUCAUCUGUCUGCAGCUGAUAGGACGUCGUCUGAUAUUUUUUCUCCAAACUGCAGACAGCGUUACGUGCUGAUGCACUGAAAGGGCCCACUUCUGUUUUGACUGUUGUCAUGUUGGCUCGCAGAGCGUAAGGAAUUAACGAGGACGUUAAACAAAACCAGACACCAACUUUAAUCUGUCUACCGCUCCCACCAGUAUCUCUGCUUUUCAGUGUGGAACAGCUGCUAUUUCUUAUCCUCCAAUGGCUCUUCAAUCAGUUUGCUGUCUGGAUGAAGGCUUCCGCAUCUUCUCCACUCUAAAUGCCUCAUGGACACCAUGCAGAAAGGCUGAUUCCUUUCCCUGCAGUGUUCCCUCUCCUUCAUCUGAGCCUGUUUGUCUGUGUUGAAGGCAGGGCUGCCAUUGAUUCAGCGGGAUGAGUCGUCCUCCUAAAUGCCUUCAGCACCUCUGGAACAAGCUGUCCCAGUGCACAGGCUUCAAGGAAAACGCCUAUAUUGAAAGGAUUAGCGUGUAUCCAGCAUCUUCCCUAAGGAUUUGGGAAAGCUGUUGAGUGCCCUCACAUGGGUCAGCUUGCUGCUGGCCUCAGGACACCACUCAGUGCCACAUCGCUCUGGGCCACCUACCCAUAAGAAUCACAGAAUCGUGCUUGGGUUGGAAGGAACCUCAGAGAAGAACCACUGCUAUCAUGUAUUUAUGUGGACCUGCUGACGGUAUGUUUUCAGAGCAUCAGCUGAUGCUGUGGGGUGAGGCACUCGUAAGUUUGCCCAUCCCCAUGAAAGCAAAUGGGAGCUUUUCCUUUAGCUUUCACGGAAUCCAGACGUGGCAAGCCAUACAUACACAUCUAUCACGUUUCUUUCUGCAUCAGCUUACUGCAGCCCUGUCCUGGGAAUCAGCUUAGUGAGUUCUCAUUUAACCCAACACAUCCGCGGGGUACCUCAGCGAGGCGGGAACGUUUCCUGUGGCUGUCGUAUCCGCUUCGCUAUCCUUCAGAGCGAGCAUCACAGCCCUUAACUAUUGAAACAGGCUUUUCUUUCACGGCAGCAAACCCGCCUGGAUAAGAUGAGAGGGACACCAUCAAUAUUACAUAGGGUCUGAGGCAUUUACUGUAAAUUCAAUGGGAACUUUUCCAGCUUCCCACUGGGAGAGAUUUCUUGGGAAUGGAGAACUCUCUGGAGCCUGUAAUAACCUCUUAAGCGAUAGCGGGAUUUCUGACAUUCCCUAUUACACAACAGGAAGCAGAAUCUUAAUAGAAGUACUGCACACAGUCGCCUUUAAUAGGAAACAGCCUAUGCAGUACUGGAGGAAUAUUUAAAAUAUUGCUUUAUUUUGAAAUGAUUGGAUUCAAGAAUGUUUUUAAUGCACUGAAGGCUCCGUGCUGCCAGAUGCAAGGGAGAGCAUGCAGGGUGAUGUGUGACAGUGGCCUGGAGCAACCUG